UACGGGGGGGGCAAGCGUUGUUCGGAAUUACUGGGCGUAAAGGGCUUGUAGGCGGCCAACUAAGUCCGACGUGAAAUCCCCAGGCUUAACCUGGGAACUGCGUCGGAUACUGGAUGGCUUGAAUUCGGGAGAGGGAUGCAGAAUUCCAGGUGUAGCGGUGAAAUGCGUAGAUAUCUGGAGGAAUACCGAUGGCGAAGGCAGCUCGCUGGGACGGUACUGACGCUGAGGCGCGAAAGCGUGGGGAGCGAACAGG
rnacentral:rRNA from 1 species